UGCAGUCGAACGGAAAGGCCUCAGCUUGCUGGGGUACUCGAGUGGCGAACGGGUGAGUAACACGUGGGUGAUCUGCCCUGCACUUUGGGAUAAGCUUGGGAAACUGGGUCUAAUACCGAAUAUGACCACUUCUUGGAUGUUGUGGUGGAAAGCUUUUGCGGUGUGGGAUGAGCCUGCGGCCUAUCAGCUUGUUGGUGGGGUAAUGGCCUACCAAGGCGGCGACGGGUAUCCGGCCUGAGAGGGUGUACGGACACAUUGGGACUGAGAUACGGCCCAGACUCCUACGGGAGGCAGCAGUGGGGAAUAUUGCACAAUGGGCGCAAGCCUGAUGCAGCGACGCCGCGUGGGGGAUGAAGGCCUUCGGGUUGUAAACUCCUUUCGCUAUCGACGAAGCCUUCGGGUGACGGUAGGUAGAUAAGAAGCACCGGCUAACUACGUGCCAGCAGCCGCGGUAAUACGUAGGGUGCAAGCGUUGUCCGGAAUUACUGGGCGUAAAGAGCUCGUAGGUGGUUUGUCGCGUCGUCUGUGAAAUCCCGGGGCUUAACUUCGGGCGUGCAGGCGAUACGGGCAUAACUUGAGUGCUGUAGGGGAGACUGGAAUUCCUGGUGUAGCGGUGAAAUGCGCAGAUAUCAGGAGGAACACCGAUGGCGAAGGCAGGUCUCUGGGCAGUAACUGACGCU
rnacentral:rRNA from 1 species